CAGCUCUCCGAGUGGUAGGGAUGAUUAUUGGGCUUAAAGCGUCCGUAGCCUGCUUAGCAAGUCUCCUGUUAAAUUCAGCGACCUAAUCGUUGAGCCGCGGGAGAUACUACUAGGCUAGGAGGCGGGAGAGGUCGACGGUACUUCUGGGGUAGGGGUGAAAUCCUAUAAUCCCAGGAGGACCACCAGUGGCGAAGGCUGUCGACUAGAACGCGCUCGACGGUGAGGGACGAAAGCUGGGGGAGCGAACCGGAUUAGAUACCCGAGUAGUCC
rnacentral:rRNA from 1 species